CCGGGUCUGCGCUUGGCACUGCACAUUUGGUUGAAAAAGUUCGAGGCGUGUGGCUGUACAUCCGCGUGAAGUGGGCUGAUAAUUUUACUUUCCCAGUGUGAAAAAGCACGAAAUUGGUGAAUUUUGUGCCUUUGCUGCGUGCGUGAGUGGUAGAAGGUUGGAAAUUACCGGUGCUGUCUAGUGGAAGUUUGUGUGAAUUAGGUUUUUGAAGCGCAUCGCUUGAAUCAUGAGUGAAAAGCAGGACCCACAAAAUGGCGAUCACCAGAACGGCCGCAACGAUGAUGAUGAGAUUCGCGAACCGGAACAUCUGCGUAAGCUGUUCAUCGGCGGUCUCGACUACCGCACCACGGACGAUACGCUGAAGGCGUACUUCGAGAAAUGGGGCAAGGUGGUGGAUGUGGUCGUCAUGAAGGACCCGAAAACGAAGCGUAGCCGCGGGUUCGGGUUCAUCACCUACUCGAAAUCGUACAUGAUUGACGACGCGCAGGCAAGCCGGCCGCACAAGAUCGAUGGGCGCGUGGUCGAGCCGAAGCGGGCCGUUCCGCGACAGGACAUCAACCGUCCGGAGGCCGGCUCGUCGGUGAAGAAGCUGUUCGUCGGCGGUCUGCGCGAUGACUUCGACGAGGAGCAUCUGCGUGAGUACUUCUCCAAGUACGGCAACGUUAUUUCGGCCUGCAUUGUUACAGAUAAGGAUAACGGCAAGAAGCGUGGCUUCGGUUUCGUCGAGUUCGACGAUUACGAUCCGGUGGACAAAAUCAUCUUGCAAAAAAGCCACACCAUCCAGAACAAGCUGCUGGAUGUGAAGAAAGCACUGCCAAAGCAAGAUAUGGACCGGUACAAGAACGACAUGGGUCGUACCGGUGGUGGUGGCGGUGGCGGCGGUGGUGGCGGUGCCUGGGGCAACCAGCGCGGCAGCGGUGGUGGCGGCUGGAACAGCCAGCGCGGUAGUGGUGGUGGUGGUGGUGGCGGCUGGGGUAACCAGCGCGGUGGUGCGGCGAACGAUUGGAACAGCGGUGGGUUCAAUAAUGGUGGCGGUUUCAAUAACGGUGGCUUCAACAAUGGCGGCAACAACUGGAACAACGGUGGCGGCAAUCCGUGGGACAAUGGGUGCGGUUCGCAGGGUCAGGGCGGCUGGGGCAACAACGGUGGCAAUUGGGGCGGCAACAGUGGUGGCGGUGGUGGCGGAUGGGGUGGCAAUGAGUUCGGAAAUAACUACCAGCAAGGAUACAACGCCGGUCCGGUGCGCGCCGGGGGCAAUUUCAACCAGCGAGCGGCACCCUACGGUACCGACGGUAGCUAUUAUGGCACGUACUAGUCGAUAGCUAACCGAUUAACUUGCGUUUCCAGGCAACCAAGGGGCUGGUCGCAGCGGAAGGUACGGCACUAGCCGUAUGCAUUAACUUUGACGAGAAGAGAGAGAGAGAGAGAGAGAAAAAGAAAGGGUGGAUGAUGUCCCGUAAGAUUGAAUAAGUAAGAAUGCCUAUGCUCACUUUGCCUAUCAACUUCAAACUGUCUAUUUCUCGUUGUGCAUAUGCUGAAGCCAAAAUAACUGCUCUUACCACAUGUUUCUUGCGUCUUGUGCCGGGUUCACAUACACCGCAUCGCGUACACGAACGUGUGUGCGAUAGCGAUCGUUAACGAACUCUCUCCGACAACCACCGUUCGCUCGCUCACCACCGUGUUCUGUCUUCUAACCACGCCAUACACCUGUCCACUGUUGUUGACCGCCCCCCAUACCCCCUCCACCCUCAGCCGCCGAUCGCACAAGUCGCUAACGCAAUGUGUCCCCAGUUGUAUCUUUGUGCGUCCCAUCGUCUCUUUCCCAUCCACAGCACAGCCACCACACACAAGCAAGUGCAACGCGCGGCUCUUCAAAGGUACAAAGCAAAGUUUUAGAAAGAGGCUAGAGCAAAAAAAGAAAAAAAGGUACAUUACAUACUCAGUCACAGUGAGCAAAACAAAACCUUACUCAGGCAGAGGCACAGUGUGUGCGUGUGUUUGGGAUGUCAGAGUAUGCAUGACAAAAAAAAACAGAGAACAGACGUGCAUUACCGUAUAAAAGGGAUCGAUGGGAGAGGACAGUCAUUCGAAAAGUGUGGAGGUUCAAUCGAUAGGAGCUUCUUCACCCAAGCCAGCACAUUAACAACAGGAAGGAGAGUGCAGGAGGGCGCGCGUGCACACACAAACACACAGGCGAGAUGAAGGACAGUGACGAGAGAGAUAUAUUGAGUAGUGGAGAAGGUACCUACGCGCAUUCAUUUGCCAGGAUCUCAGCUCCACCUUGCUCUAUAGACUAGUCCGCAUUAACCCAGCAAACAUCAGGCGCGCGCAACCCUUCCCUCGUCAGAGUUUGAGCGGUUUUCUUCAGAUCGACGUACAAAAGCAUAUGUCUAAUGUGUAUGAGUGGUUAGAGCUGUCGCAUCCAUCCCAGGAAAGCAGCUGCAUUAUCCGCAGCACCACACAACAGGAAAGCAGUCGACUUAGAGGCACAUUGAGUGAAGCAUAUGACAGUGAUAGAGAGAUACACAUGAGAACAGCAUUUGAACAACUUCAUUGCUUGCUUAACGGCUUAAGUUUUGCCCCGGUGGUGGUCACCGACAUCGUUGCUCUAGUAUGUGUUCCCUUUCCUCCUAUUUCUCGUCUUACCGGGCAGUGGUGGUUUUACAAGAUCGGAUGAGAAUGAGUCGUUAAGAGAAGAAGUAUAUAGACAACAACGCAGGUCUCUCAUUUUAUACGAACACUGCUGUAGAAAGGCGGAAAUAAAAGUCUUAGCGCGUUUUAGCGUUUGACCUUUUUGAGUGUAGCGCUACAACUGACUUGGAUGAAAAAUAUAUCCCCUGCGAGUAAAAUUUGAGUAAAACAUACAAAAACAGGAAAAGAAGAAAUAUACCGAUGAGCAGCAGGAAAACAAAUCUUAAAAACAUACAACACACCAACACAAAAUGGCUCGGUGGUGGUGUGUGUAAAUCUCUCAACUACCUUCAUUGUUGGUGUACAAGCACAGUAACAACCCUUGUGUUUGCUAUGAAACGGAUAGCAAGUAUAUUAUAUUUAUUAACUAUAAAUGUAUAGAUGUAUGGAAGUAUAAACUAGACUAGAGUUUAAGACCAGGGAUUGCUCGGUAAGCGAAGUUUGAUUUACACUACAAAAGAAUUUAACCAGUUUUAUACAUAGCCAUCCCCACAUAAAUACACAAACUCUGACACACUUUCACAGCUAACAAUCGUACAUCAGCUUCUUGUCGUUCAAAGACACAGAUGGUUGUUUUUCAUUUCAAAUAGGAAACAAAAGAGAAAAAUGCAACUCGCUUUGAUUUUCAAAGCGACGGUAAAAAAAAUUAGAACAAUCGAAAAAGUUCAGUUAUAAAAACAAACACAAAAGAUAUAGCGCAAGAGUAGACAAGUAUAAAGUACUAAUUUAGGAAAUGAUGAGAAAGGAAAAAAGGAGAAAUCGUCCAUAAAAACAACAUGACUAGGAAGUUGAGACAACAGGAACGAAAAUCGUAAAAAUGAUACAGAGCGUAUAUCGUGUACACUGAACACACAGACCACAAGCAGAGUUAUUCAUACAUAUUUGAUUGUAUAUAGAUUGACGUUUGUCUUUUUCGUAAGGUAUAAAAUGAUUUUUUUUAAAUAUCAUUGAGUUCUCCAUCGUCGCACUGCUCGCAAUAGAUGAGUUUUAGUACACUACUUUGGUUCGAUUAAAAUGGUAUGGAUAUAUAGACUAGCGCCGCUCUAAAGCAAAUAAAAAGCAAUAGGAAAAAAUGAUAGGUUUCGGUUGUGUUAUGUAGCAGCAAUUAUCGUUUUCUAACGUAUCAAUAGUAAACCAAUUUCUUACGUCGAGGAAUCACUCUUAUUAGAUUCAUAAUGAUAACAUUUGAGUGUUCCUGAUCAUAUCGAUCUUGGUUCGGUCACAAGGAUCCUCUUCUCGUAAUUGAUUUGAUCACAGUAACUGAAAUAGAUGUCCCUGCAAGAUAGGAAGAAUGCUUUCCGCCGUUAAUUAAUGUAUGAAUUAUUGAAAUACACUCACGUGUACCGUUUCAAAUUAGGUUUUGUUCGAUAGAGAUACCACACAACAUAAUAACCUUGCUAAAACCACCCCCUGUGCCCCGUUUAUUUUAGUUUUUUUUUUUUGGUACAACGACAUAUUCACGUGUAUAACCUACCAACCCCCCUAAUAAUUAUAAUAAUUAUCUCCGGUGCGAGAGGAGAAAGAGGGAACACAAAACAAAACAAAUACAAAAACGAAACCAAGCUAUAGCUGGAGAAGAAGCAUCUUUUGAGAGUAAGAUCAUGUCGCAGUAAAACAAAAAUAAAUUAGAAAAGAGUAUAGAAUCGUCCGUA